rnacentral:rRNA from 1 species
AUUGAACGCUGGCGGCAGGCCUAACACAUGCAAGUCGAGCGGAUGAAGGGAGCUUGCUCCUGGAUUCAGCGGCGGACGGGUGAGUAAUGCCUAGGAAUCUGCCUGGUAGUGGGGGAUAACGUCCGGAAACGGGCGCUAAUACCGCAUACGUCCUGAGGGAGAAAGUGGGGGAUCUUCGGACCCCACGCUAUCAGAUGAGCCUAGGUCGGAUUAGCUAGUUGGUGGGGUAAAGGCCUACCAAGGCGACGAUCCGUAACUGGUCUGAGAGGAUGAUCAGUCACACUGGAACUGAGACACGGUCCAGACUCCUACGGGAGGCAGCGGUGGGGAAUAUUGGACAAAGGGCGAAAGCCUGAUCCAGCCAUGCCGCGUGUGUGAAGAAGGUCUUCGGAUUGUAAAGCACUGUAAGUUGGGAGGAAGGGCAGUAAGUUAAUACCUUGCUGUUUUGACGUUACCAACAGAAUAAGCACCGGCUAACUUCGUG